GACAGAGGCCUCAAGCGUUAGGCGGAAUCACUGGGCUUAAAGCGUGUGUAGGCGGAUCGUUAAGUGCCUUGUGAAAUCCCACGGCUUAACUGUGGAACGGCUGGGCAUACUGGCGGUCUUGAGCCAUCUAGGGGCGACUGGAACAAACGGUGGAGCGGUGAAAUGCGUAGAUAUCGGGAGGAACACCGGUGGCGAAGGCGGUUCUCUGGGCCUUACCUGACGCUGAGGAGCGAAAGCGUGGGGAGCGAACAGG
rnacentral:rRNA from 1 species